rnacentral:rRNA from 1 species
AGAGUUUGAUCAUGGCUCAAAACGUACGCUGGCGGCACGCCUAACACAUGCAAGUCGAACGAAGUAGCAAUACUUAGUGGCAGACGGGUGAGUAACAUGUAGGUAUCUGCCCUUUGGCCUGGAAUAACACGAGGAAACUUGUGCUAAUACUGGAUAAGUCUUUACGGAGAAAGCUUUAUGCACCAUUGGAUGAGCCUGCACUUGAUUAGUUUGUUGGUGGGGUAACGGCCUACCAAGACUGUGAUCAAUAGCUGAUUUGAGAAGAUGAUCAGCCACUUGGGACUGAGACACCGCCCAAACUCCUACGGGAAGGCAGCCUUGGGGAAUCUUGCCCAAUGGAAGAACUCUGAAUGCACCAAUCCCCCUUGA